rnacentral:rRNA from 1 species
AAGGCGGUCGGGAUUCCACCACCAAAUUCACAGAAUACAACCCUCCGCGCUCAAGGGCAGACUCUUUCCGGUAUAUUACUAUUUUUUGUUAUCCUGCUAAAUGAACGCUGGGCACGCUUAAACACUGCAAGUUGGGCGGUAAGAGGGGCUUGGACCCUCUGGAGGAGCGCGGGAACGGGUAGUAAUGCCUAGGAAUUCUGCCUUGUAGUGGGGGUAUUACGUUUCGUUAUUUGAUUGCUUAUACUGCAUACGUCCUACCGGAGAAAAGCAGGGGACCUUCGGGCCCUUGCGCUAUCAGAUGAGCCUAGGUCGGAUUAGCUAGUUGGUGGGGUAAUGGCUCACCAAGGCGACGAUCCGUAACUGGUCUGAGAGGAUGAUCAGUCACACUGGAACUGAGACACGGUCCAGACUCCUACGGGAGGCAGCAGUGGGGAAUAUUGGACAAUGGGCGAAAGCCUGAUCCAGCCAUGCCGCGUGUGUGAAGAAGGUCUUCGGAUUGUAAAGCACUUUAAGUUGGGAGGAAGGGCAUUAACCUAAUACGUUAGUGUUUUGACGUUACCGACAGAAUAAGCACCGGCUAACUCUGUGCCAGCAGCCGCGGUAAUACAGAGGGUGCAAGACGUUAAUCGGAAUUACUGGGCGUAAAGCGCGCGUAGGUGGUUCGUUAAGUUGGAUGUGAAAUCCCCGGGCUCAACCUGGGAACUGCAUUCUAAAACUGUCGAGCUAGAGUAUGGUAGAGGGUGGUGGAAUUUCCUGUGUAGCGGUGAAAUGCGUAGAUAUAGGAAGGAACACCAGUGGCGAAGGCGACCACCUGGACUGAUACUGACACUGAGGUGCGAAAGCGUGGGGAGCAAACAGGAUUAGAUACCCUGGUAGUCCACGCCGUAAACGAUGUCAACUAGCCGUUGGGAGCCUUGAGCUC